rnacentral:rRNA from 1 species
UACGUAGGGGGCAAGCGUUGUCCGGAUUUAUUGGGCGUAAAGAGCGUGUAGGCGGCUUUGCAAGUCCGUUGUGAAAACUCGAGGCUCAACCUCGAGACGCCGGUGGAAACUGCAAAGCUAGAGUCCGGAAGAGGAGAGUGGAAUUCCGUGGUGUAGCGGUGAAAUGCGCAGAUAUCAGGAAGAACACCCGUGGCGAAGGCGGCUCUCUGGGCCUGUACUGACGCUGAGGAGCGAAGCGUGGGAGCAACAGGAAUAGAACCGUGGUAGUCCAAGACCAGUACC